AUGAGUAAAGUGGCGCACGGGUGAGUAACACGUGGGAACGUACCCUUAGGUGCGGGAUAACUACGGGAAACUGUAGCUAAUACCGCAUAAUGUCUCCGGACCAAAGAUUUAUUGCCUAAGGAUCGGCCCGCGUUGGAUUAGCUUGUUGGUGGGGUAAUGGCCUACCAAGGCGACGAUCCAUAGCUGGUCUGAGAGGAUGAUCAGCCACACUGGAACUGAGACACGGUCCAGACUCC
rnacentral:rRNA from 1 species